rnacentral:tRNA from 1 species
GGGUUUGUGGCUCAGGUGGCAGAGCACCUGCCUAGCAAGCAUGGGCUCUGGGAUCAAACCCCAGUACCUUCC